rnacentral:rRNA from 1 species
GUCCUUUUGAAAUUAAUUUAAGGUCUGACCUGCCCAGUGAUUUAUUUAACGGCCGCGGUAUAUUGACCGUGCAAAGGUAGCAUAAUCAUUAGUCUUUUAAUAGAGGGCUGGAAUGAAAGGUUUGACGAGGAAUCGACUGUCUCAAUUUAUUUGUUUUAUAAAUUAAUUUUUUAGUUAAAAAGCUAAAAUGGUAUUGGAAGACGAGAAGACCCUAUAGAUCUUUAUAUAUUCAAUUUAAUUAUUUUUAUAUUAAUUUUUUAUAUUGUUUUAUAUUUUGUUGGGGUGACAAAAAUAUAUAAUUAACUUUUUUAUUUUUUUCCCAUUGAUUUAUGAAUAAUAGAUCCAUUAUUAAUGAUUGAUAGACUAAGUUACCUUAGGGAUAACAGCGUAAUCCUCCUCCAGAGUUCAUAUUUACAGGAAGGGCUUGCGACCUCGAUGUUGGAUUAAGAUAAUAGUUAGGUGUAGCCGCUUAAUGUAUAGGUCUGUUCGACCUUUAAAUUCUU